AACGAACGCUGGCGGCGCGCCUAAUACAUGCAAGUCGAGCGAGAAGGUGUAGCAAUACACUUGUAAAGCGGCGAACGGGUGAGGAAUACAUGGGUAAUCUACCAUCGAGUGGGGAAUAACCAACCGAAAGGUUGGCUAAUACCGCGUACGCCUCCGAGUCUUCGGGUUCGGAGGGAAAGCUGCACUGUGAGUGUAGCGCUCUUUGAUGAGCUCAUGUCCUAUCAGCUUGUUGGUAGGGUAACGGCCUACCAAGGCUUUGACGGGUAGCUGGUCUGAGAGGACGAUCAGCCACACUGGCACUGCGACACGGGCCAGACUCCUACGGGAGGCAGCAGUAAGGAAUAUUGCGCAAUGGGCGAAAGCCUGACGCAGCGACGCCGCGUGGGGGAUGAAGGUCUUCGGAUUGUAAACCCCUUUCGGGAGGGAAGAUGGAACGAGCAAUCGUUCGGACGGUACCUCCAGAAGCAGCCACGGCCAACUUCGUGCCAGCAG
rnacentral:rRNA from 1 species